AGAGUUUGAUCCUGGCUCAGGAUGAACGCUGGCGGCGUGCCUAACACAUGCAAGUCGAGCGAUCUUCUUCGGAAGAGAGCGGCGGACGGGUGAGUAACGCGUGGGUAACCUGCCUCAUACACAUGGAUAACAUACCGAAAGGUAUGCUAAUACAAGAUGAUAUAAGAGAUUCGCAUGGAUUCUUAUCAAAGCUCCGGCGGUAUGAGAUGGACCCGCGUCUGAUUAGCUAGUUGGUAAGGUAAAUGGCUUACCAAGGCGACGAUCAGUAGCCGACCUGAGAGGGUGAUCGGCCACAUUGGAACUGAGACACGGUCCAAACUCCUACGGGAGGCAGCAGUGGGGAAUAUUGCACAAUGGGCGAAAGCCUGAUGCAGCAACGCCGCGUGAGCGAUGAAGGCCUUCGGGUCGUAAAGCUCUGUCCUCAAGGAAGAUAAUGACGGUACUUGAGGAGGAAGCCCCGGCUAACUACGUG
rnacentral:rRNA from 1 species